UAAAUAUUCCCUCCGUCCGGAAAUACUCGGAGGAAUGAAUGUAUCUAGAUAUACUUUAGUUCUAGAUACAUUCAUGUUUAUGCAUUUCUUCGACAAGUAUUUCCGGACGAAGGGAGUAGAUU
rfam:Triticum aestivum genome assembly, contig: Triticum_aestivum_CS42_TGACv1_scaffold_499393_6BL